rnacentral:rRNA from 1 species
AGAGUUUGAUCCUGGCUCAGGAUGAACGCUAGCGGCAGGCUUAACACAUGCAAGUCGAGGGGUAGGGAAAGCUUGCUUUCCUGAGACCGGCGCACGGGUGCGUAACGCGUAUGCAAUCUACCUUUCACAAAGGGAUAGCCCAGAGAAAUUUGGAUUAAUACCUUAUAGUAUUAUAGAAUGGCAUCAUUUUAUAAUUAAAGAUUUAUCGGUGAAAGAUGAGCAUGCGUCCCAUUAGCUAGUUGGUAUGGUAACGGCAUACCAAGGCUACGAUGGGUAGGGGUCCUGAGAGGGAGAUCCCCCACACUGGUACUGAGACACGGACCAGACUCCUACGGGAGGCAGCAGUGAGGAAUAUUGGACAAUGGGCGCAAGCCUGAUCCAGCCAUGCCGCGUGCAGGAUGACGGUCCUAUGGAUUGUAAACUGCUUUUAUACAGGAAGAAACACCUCUACGUGUAGAGACUUGACGGUACUGUAAGAAUAAGGAUCGGCUAACUCCGUGCCAGCAGCCGCGGUAAUACGGAGGAUCCAAGCGUUAUCCGGAAUCAUUGGGUUUAAAGGGUCCGUAGGCGGUCAGGUAAGUCAGUGGUGAAAGCCCAUCGCUCAACGGUGGAACGGCCAUUGAUACUGUCUGACUUGAAUUAUUAGGAAGUAACUAGAAUAUGUAGUGUAGCGGUGAAAUGCUUAGAGAUUACAUGGAAUACCAAUUGCGAAGGCAGGUUACUACUAAUUGAUUGACGCUGAGGGACGAAAGCGUGGGUAGCGAACAGGAUUAGAUACCCUGGUAGUCCACGCCGUAAACGAUGGAUACUAGCUGUUGGGAGCAAUCUCAGUGGCUAAGCGAAAGUGAUAAGUAUCCCACCUGGGGAGUACGAACGCAAGUUUGAAACUCAAAGGAAUUGACGGGGGCCCGCACAAGCGGUGGAGCAUGUGGUUUAAUUCGAUGAUACGCGAGGAACCUUACCAAGGCUUAAAUGUAGAUUGACCGGUUUGGAAACAGAUCUUUCGCAAGACAAUUUACAAGGUGCUGCAUGGUUGUCGUCAGCUCGUGCCGUGAGGUGUCAGGUUAAGUCCUAUAACGAGCGCAACCCCUGUUGUUAGUUGCCAGCGAGUCAUGUCGGGAACUCUAACGAGACUGCCAGUGCAAACUGUGAGGAAGGUGGGGAUGACGUCAAAUCAUCACGGCCCUUACGCCUUGGGCUACACACGUGCUACAAUGGCCGGUACAGAGAGCAGCCACUGGGCGACCAGGAGCGAAUCUACAAAACCGGUCACAGUUCGGAUCGGAGUCUGCAACUCGACUCCGUGAAGCUGGAAUCGCUAGUAAUCGGAUAUCAGCCAUGAUCCGGUGAAUACGUUCCCGGGCCUUGUACACACCGCCCGUCAAGCC